CUGACGAGUGGCGGACGGGUGAGUAAUGCUUGGGAAUCUGGCUUAUGGAGGGGGAUAACUACGGGAAACUGUAGCUAAUACCGCGUAGUGUCGAGAGACGAAAGUGCGGGACCGCAAGGCCGCAUGCCAUGAGAUGAGCCCAAGUGGGAUUAGGUAGUUGGUGGGGUAAAGGCCUACCAAGCCUGCGAUCUCUAGCUGGUCUGAGAGGAUGGCCAGCCACACUGGAACUGAGACACGGUCCAGACUCCUACGGGAGGCAGCAGUGGGGAAUAUUGCGCAAUGGGGGGAACCCUGACGCAGCCAUGCCGCGUGAAUGAAGAAGGCCUUCGGGUUGUAAAGUUCUUUCGGUAUUGAGGAAGGAGUGUAUGUUAAUAGCAUGCAUUAUUGACGUUAAAUACAGAAGAAGCACCGGCUAACUCCGUGCCAGCAGCCGCGGUAAUACGGAGGGUGCGAGCGUUAAUCGGAAUAACUGGGCGUAAAGGGCACGCAGGCGGUUAUUUAAGUGAGGUGUGAAAGCCCCGGGCUUAACCUGGGAAUUGCAUUUCAGACUGGGUAACUAGAGUACUUUAGGGAGGGGUAGAAUUCCACGUGUAGCGGU
rnacentral:rRNA from 1 species